CAGUGGCGAACGGGUGAGUAACACGUGAGUAACCUGCCCCGGACUCUGGAAUAAGCGCUGGAAACGGCGUCUAAUACCGGAUACGAGACGCAACCGCAUGGUUAGUGUCUGGAAAGUUUUUCGGUCUGGGAUGGACUCGCGGCCUAUCAGCUUGUUGGUGAGGUAAUGGCUCACCAAGGCGACGACGGGUAGCCGGCCUGAGAGGGCGACCGGCCACACUGGGACUGAGACACGGCCCAGACUCCUACGGGAGGCAGCAGUGGGGAAUAUUGCACAAUGGGCGAAAGCCUGAUGCAGCGACGCCGCGUGAGGGAUGACGGCCUUCGGGUUGUAAACCUCUUUCAGCAGGGAAGAAGCGAAAGUGACGGUACCUGCAGAAGAAGCACCGGCUAACUACGUGCCAGCAGCCGCGGUAAUACGUAGGGUGCGAGCGUUGUCCGGAAUUAUUGGGCGUAAAGAGCUUGUAGGCGGUUUGUCGCGUCUGCUGUGAAAAUCCGGGGCUCAACCCCGGACUUGCAGUGGGUACGGGCAGACUAGAGUGUGGUAGGGGAGACUGGAAUUCCUGGUGUAGCGGUGAAAUGCGCAGAUAUCAGGAGGAACACCGAUGGCGAAGGCAGGUCUCUGGGCCACUACUGACGCUGAGAAGCGAAAGCAUGGGGAGCGAACAGGAUUAGAUACC
rnacentral:rRNA from 1 species